rnacentral:rRNA from 1 species
AGCGGCGGACGGGUGAGUAACGCGUGGGUAACCUGCCUCAUACAGGGGAUAACAGUUGGAAACGGCUGCUAAUACCGCAUAAGCGCACAGUACCGCAUGGUACCGUGGUGAAAAACUCCGGUGGUAUGAGAUGGACCCGCGUCUGAUUAGCUAGUUGGUGGGGUAACGGCCUACCAAGGCGACGAUCAGUAGCCGACCUGAGAGGGUGACCGGCCACAUUGGGACUGAGACACGGCCCAA